GAUGUUUAGGAGUGAGAUGGAAGGUGUUUCAUCAUAAUGCAUGGGAAUUAUUGUCAUGUACGAUGGUUGCAUGAUCGAAGGCUACGAGCGAGGGGACAAAUUAAAAAAGAUAAAGAAAUCUUCCUCUUACCAAGGAUAGGGACUGCCAUUUAAAUUUCACUAAAGGAGGAAAAAAGAUUGUUCAGCUACAAGUUCUACAAGGAAAAAAGAUUCCUUGAACUGGAUCCUUUUGCUUGUUCGCAAAUCAAAUUUUGGACAUGAAUGAUAAAUAUUCUGAGACCUUUAUGUCUGCGGAAAGUUAUGUGCUGAUUUGUCUCAAGUGUAAUGACAGAACUUGGAGAAGCUUCUGAUUAGAUUUAGUCACUGCGAGGAAAGUGGCACACCUUCAUUCACUACACAUAUCCAUGACGACAACACAUCUAUGGACCUUAACAAGCAGGCAUGGCAAUGAAAAAUAAUUGAACAUUUCCUGGUUUGGGACAGUGUGAUGGUCGAGUCAAUAUCUGUGGAUUUGUAACAAGACGACAACCACGUCUCAAAAUAUGCACCCCAAGUCAUGUAUGGAAAUUUGGCGGACUGAAAAUUCUGACUCACUAUUUCGUUUGAUAAUGGUGAAAACAUUUAGGGUCCACAAACUGACCUUUCUCUUGACUGAACUAAUUGCUGCUUUUGUGCGUAUAUAUAGCACUGCACUUCCAUGUAUCCAAUCAGACAAGAUGAUCUGUUGUACGGUGAACCACUCCUGUUGUUAAUAUAGCCCUGUUUGGCAGAGAUA